ACGAAAAAAAAAAUACACCCGAGUGUGCAACAAUUUUCCCAGAAGGGUAAAGGUCGUGAUGCGACAGCCGACAGUGGCAGGGCAACCUACGAGUUCUUAUAAAUAUACCCUCCAAUAAGCUAAGCUUACCAUAUCACAGAAAAUAGAGUUUCCUUCACUUUCUUUGUCAUGGAUCCUUGCAAGUUCCGUCCAUCAAGCUCAAACAAUACCCCCUUCUGGACCACCGAUGCUGGUGCUCCAGUAUGGAACAACAAUUCCUCCAUGACUGUUGGAACCAGAGGUCCAAUCCUUUUGGAGGACUAUCAUAUGAUAGAGAAACUUGCCAACUUUACCAGAGAGAGGAUUCCAGAGCGUGUCGUCCAUGCUAGGGGAAUGAGUGCAAAGGGCUUCUUUGAAGUCACCCACGAUGUCUCUCACCUUACUUGUGCUGAUUUCCUUCGAGCCCCUGGAGUUCAAACCCCUGUCAUCGUCCGUUUCUCCACUGUUAUCCACGAGCGUGGCAGCCCUGAAACACUCAGGGAUCCUCGAGGUUUUGCGACUAAGUUCUACACCAGAGAGGGCAACUUUGAUAUUGUGGGAAACAACUUCCCUGUCUUCUUCAUCCGUGAUGGAAUAAAAUUCCCAGAUGUGAUACACGCUUUUAAGCCCAAUCCCAAGUCUCACAUCCAAGAAUACUGGAGGAUCUUUGACUUCUUAUCACACCAUCCUGAGAGCUUGAGCACCUUCGCCUGGUUCUUCGAUGAUGUUGGAAUUCCCCAAGAUUACAGACACAUGGAAGGUUUCGGUGUUCACACCUUUACUUUCAUCAACAAGGCUGGAAAAGUAACCUACGUGAAAUUUCACUGGAAACCCACUUGCGGGGUCAAGUGUUUGAUGGAUGAUGAGGCACUUAAGAUCGGAGGUGCCAACCACAGCCAUGCUACGCAGGAUUUAUACGACUCCAUUGCCGCUGGCAACUAUCCUGAGUGGAGACUCUUCAUCCAGACAAUGGAUCCAGCUGAUGAAGACAAAUUCGACUUUGAUCCACUUGAUAUGACCAAGAUCUGGCCUGAGGAUAUUUUUCCUCUACAGCAAAUUGGCCGUUUGGUCUUGAACAGGAACAUCGAUAACUGGUUUGCUGAGAAUGAAAUGCUCGCAUUCGACCCUGGUCAUAUUGUUCCUGGCAUUCACUAUUCAAACGACAAGUUGUUUCAGCUCAGAACCUUUGCAUAUGCUGACACUCAGAGGCACCGUCUCGGACCCAACUAUAAGAUGCUCCCUGUUAAUGCUCCCAAGUGUGCUUAUCACAACAAUCAUUACGAUGGUUUCAUGAAUUUCAUGCACAGGGAUGAGGAGGUGGAUUACUUCCCAUCCAGGUAUGAUCCAGUUCGCCAUGCUGAGAGAAGCCCCAUUCCUAACGCUAUCUGUAGUGGAAGGCGUGAAAAGUGCGUCAUUGAAAAGGAGAACAAUUUCAAGCAACCUGGAGAGAGAUAUCGAUCCUGGGCACCUGAUAGACAAGAAAGAUUCCUGUGCAGAUUGGUUAACGCCUUAUCAGAGCCACGUAUCACCUUUGAGAUUCGCAGUAUCUGGGUCUCUUACUGGUCUAAGUGCGACGCGUCUCUGGGUCAAAAGCUGGCUUCUCGUCUCAACGUGAGGCCAAAUAUAUGAAGAUGAGGCUAUGGGUCACAGUGGCAGAGAGAUGUUGAGGAGGAGGAGAAGCAGAAGAUCAAUUGAUUGCUUUUCAAAAGCAGCAGCAAUCAACCCAGUAAGUUUUUCUUUUCAUGAACAACUUUAAUUUAAAUUUGUGUUAUCACAUCAUAGAAUUGAUCAUACUCUAAUUUGAAAUCACAUAGCUGAACUCAUCAAAAUCAAUUUGAAAUCAAACAAAAAAUUAUGAGCAAGUUUAAAAAAUCAAUUAUUGAAUUUAUUCAAAAUUGAUUCUAAAUUGGAACGGUGGACCACGAAUUGAUUUAUUUUAUUUAAUGAACCGGAUAGGAUAGUAUUGCUCCGACCCACAUCAAAUUUAUGGGCCGGAUCUGAACAUAUCACCAAUUAACUAUAGAGAUGCUUAUGUCUAAGUUUUAUUAAAAAUAUUAUACUUUUUCCUCUAAAAACUAUAGGAUAAAUGUGUUAAGUUCAUUAGAAAAUCGUAGAUAUAUUUAAAUUUAAUAUCAAACUCUAGUUUGUAAUAUGAAUUUGAUAAUUUCAUAUGCUUAAUUAAUUUUAUUGAAUUGUAUUAUAUGUCAAUUUUAUUUAAAAACACACACGUUAAUAUAUAAAUAUUUGAUUUAUAACUAAUCCACUUAUUUUAUAUAAAAUUAAAUACAAUUUAUACGUUAUUAAAUGUUUAUUUCUACAAAAUAAAUAAGUUGGAUAAGCUAAGGGUAGAUCUCAAUUAAAAAACAAAUCUUCUAUAAAGCAUUAAAAUUCGAUAAUCCUAUAAUUAUUGUUACACUGCUCACUCAUAUUAUUUAAUUAUUCACUUAUUUUUAAAAUAUAUUUUAUUUUUCAUACUUAUUAACUAUAAAGUAUUAAAAAGAUAAAUAUAUUUUAACUAUAAAAAUAUUAAAAUAAUGAAAUUAUUUUUUUUUUUAAAAAAACUUAAUUUUUUUAACUUAUCGCUGAAUCAACGGUCCAUGUGGUUGUGAGUUGGUUACAGCGAUGCAACCAAAACCCGGAUAAGGAACCAUUACUUGAUGACGUCUUCAAUUUAUUUUAUUAUUUUUAUUCCUUCAUCCGGAUAAUGAUAAUUGUGUCAAACUUGAAAUUAUCGACACCAUAUCUAAUCGAAUAGAGUUCAAAUAAUUUUAUCAUUAACUUUAUCUUUUCACAUUUGAUGAUAAUUGGUCUGGACACCCGAUUCAGGCUAGAUCCGCGCUGAAAAUGUCAAAUGUAAUUCCAUUAAAAUUUAAUAAUCAAGUCCGUCUCAUUUAUAAAAUUUUAAGGAGUUGGACUAGACUCGAGUCUACAUGUGGGAGGUCUAAUUUUGUUUAUUCGGUUAGUCCCGAAAAAUAACAAAUCUCAUGACACCCGAGAUCAUAUCCGUACAGUACCGAAUAAAAUUAAAUUAUCGUCUAACGAUAGAAAAAAACACAAUAUAUCCCUACGUAUAGCCAACGUGACUGUAGCGAGAGAGUAUAAGCGCAUGACGGCGGUUACGCAUCACUAAAUGAUAAAAGGAAAAAGAAAUAAAGGAAACAAAGGAAAGACACACCAAACUAAUCUUAUCAAAAUGCACCUUCAACUUACCAUUUAUUGGACCUUAGAAUAUCAAUUGCGUCGUCUAUGGGAAAUGAAGUAGAUCUUUUUAUCACUGGAGUUUUCAUCCUCAUUUUCAUAUGAUAAGAUCCGCAUGGCCAAUCACGACGAAAAUAAUAUUGGAAACACCUCAAACGACUUAAGUUAUACUAAGGAAGAACCAGAGUUCUCAUUGCCUGCUCUACCGAGCUCUAGAAGAAUCGGUUUUGAGCAUCAAUCUCCAUGAAUACCCCAAAAACCCUGCCACAGAAAAAUAAAAACAGGGUUAAAAAAGCUAUAGAAA